CAGUCGCCACGGUAAUACGAAGGGUGCAAGCGUUACUCGGAAUUACUGGGCGUAAAGCGUGCGUAGGCGGCUAAUUGAGUCGGAUGUGAAAUCCCCGAGCUUUACUUGGGAAUUGCAUUCGAUACUGGUUAGCUAGAGUGUGGGAGAGGAUGGUAGAAUUCCAGGUGUAGCGGUGAAAUGCGUAGAGAUCUGGAGGAAUACCGAUGGCGAAGGCAGCCAUCUGGCCUAACACUGACGCUGAGGUACGAAAGCAUGGGGAGCAAACAGGAUUAGAUACCCCCGUAGUCCCUGUCUCUUAUAC
rnacentral:rRNA from 1 species